rnacentral:rRNA from 1 species
UGGUAUUCUUUACUUAGAAUAAUAAAACUUAAGUAGUAACAGAAAUGAGCUUGAAACUUAAAGGAUUUGGCGGUAUUUCAGUCGGGUUAGAGGAACCUGUCCCGUAAUCGAUGAUCCACGAAGAAUCUUACUCCGCUUUGUAACGAAAAACGUAUAAAUCAGUUAGUAUACCGCCAUUCUUAGGCCACUCUAAUAAGGGGACCCGCAAUAGAGAGGAAAUUUGUCUAGGAUAUUAGGUCAGGGUGCAGCUUAUAGUGGAGGGGAGAUGGGUUACAAUUUGACUUUAAAAACGAAUUACAAGUUGAAAUACUUGAUAUGAAGGCGGAUUUAAAAGUAAUAGAAGUUUAAUAAGCUUAUAUGAUUGACGCUCUGAAAUAUGUA